CUUUACGGCCACACCACCCUGAACACGCCCGAUCUCGGAAGCUAAGCAGGGCCGGGCCUGGUUAGUACUUGGAUGGGAGACCGCCUGGGAAUACCAGGUGCUGUAAGUU
rnacentral:rRNA from 1 species